GAUGAACGCUGGCGGCGUGCCUAAUACAUGCAAGUCGAGCGAACAGACGAGGAGCUUGCUCCUCUGACGUUAGCGGCGGACGGGUGAGUAGCACGUGGAUAACCUACCUAUAAGACUGGGAUAACUUCGGGAAACCGGAGCUAAUACCGGAUAAUAUAGUGAACCGCAUGGUUCAAUAGUGAAAGACGGUUUUGCUGUCACUUAUAGAUGGAUCCGCGCCGCAUUAGCUAGUUGGUAAGGUAACGGCUUACCAAGGCAACGAUGCGUAGCCGACCUGAGAGGGUGAUCGGCCACACUGGAACUGAGACACGGUCCAGACUCUUACGGGAGGCAGCAGUAGGGAAUCUUCCGCAAUGGGCGAAAGCCUGACGGAGCAACGCCGCGUGAGUGAUGAAGGUCUUCGGAUCGUAAAACUCUGUUAUUAGGGAAGAACAAAUGUGUAAGUAACUAUGCACGUCUUGACGGUACCUAAUCAGAAAGCCACGGCUAACUACGUG
rnacentral:rRNA from 1 species